UACGUAGGUGACGAGCGUUAUCCGGAAUACUGGGCGUAAAGCGCACGCAAGCGGUCUAACAAGUCUGGCGUGAAAUCCUCUGGCUUAACCAGGGGCGGUCGCUGGAGACUGUUAAACUUGAGGCGAUGAGAGGGGUGCAGAAUUCCCGGUGUAGUGGUGGAAUGCGUAGAUAUCGGGGGGAAUACCAGUGGCGAAAAGGCGGCACCCUGGCGUCGUACUGACGCACAUGUGCGAAAGCGUGGGGAGCGAACGGG
rnacentral:rRNA from 1 species